AUACGGAGGAUCCGAGCGUUAUCCGGAUUUAUUGGGUUUAAAGGGUGCGCAGGCGGCCAUUUAAGUCAGCGGUUAAAUCGUGGGGCUCAACCCCAUUCUGCCGUUGAUACUGGGUGGCUUGAUUGCGGUCGAGGUUGGCGGAAUUCGUUGUGUAGCGGUGAAAUGCAUAGAUAUGACGAAGAACACCGAUUGCGUAGGCAGCUGACCAGACCGCAAAUGACGCUCAUGCACGAAAGUACGGGGAUCGGACAGGAUUAGAUACCCUGGUAGUCCGCACAGUAAACGAUGAAUACUUGUUUUCGGCGAUAUAAUGUCGGAGGCAAAGCGAAAGCAAUAAGUAGUCCCCCUGGGGAGUUCGCCGUCACCGGUGAAACUCAAACUAAUUGACAGGG
rnacentral:rRNA from 1 species